GAUGAAGAACGUAGCGAAAUGCGAUACUUGGUGUGAAUUGCAGAAUCCCGCGAAUCAUCGAGUUUUUGAACGCAAGUUGCGCCCGAAGCCAUUCGGCCGAGGGCACGUCUGCCUGGGUGUCACGCAUCGUUGCCCCUCCAAACUUCGGUUCGGGCGGGGCGGAAGUUGGCCUCCCGUGCGUGCCUGCGCGCGCGGUUAGCCCAAAAGCGAGUCCUCGGCGACGAGCGCCACGACAAUCGGUGGUUUUUUUACCCUCGUUCCUCGUCGUGCGUGCCCCGUCGCCCGAACGCGCUCUUGCGACCCUUACGCGUCGCCUCGGCGGCGCUCCCAACGCGACCCCAGGUCAGGCGGGACUACCCGCUGAGUUUAAGCAUAUCAAUAAGCGGAGGAA
rnacentral:misc_RNA from 1 species